ncrna:Nicotiana tabacum cultivar TN90 Ntab-TN90_scaffold751, whole genome shotgun sequence
GACUCUGUGGCCCAAUGGAUAAGGCGCUGGUCUACGAAACCAGAGAUUCUGGGUUUGAUCAACAUGGUCA